UACGAAGGGGGCUAGCGUUGUUCGGAAUCACUGGGCGUAAAGCGUACGUAGGCGGACCAUUAAGUCGGGGGUGAAAUCCCAGGGCUCAACCCUGUAACUGCCUUCGAUACUGGUGGUCUGGAGUCCGGGAGAGGUGAGUGGAACUCCUAGUGUAGAGGUGAAAUUCGUAGAUAUUAGGAAGAACACCAGUGGCGAAGGCGGCUCACUGGCCCGGUACUGACGCUGAGGUACGAAAGCGUGGGGAGCAAACAGG
rnacentral:rRNA from 1 species